GCUGCUCAAGGGCCUCCCCACCCUCCUGGGGAAGAAUUUAUUCCCAGUGCCUGAUGUAAACCCUGUGAGUCUGAAGCCAUUUGCCAUUGUCCAGUCGCUCCAUGCUCUUAUACAAGGGAUGCUUUGGAGCUACACAUCAAGUCCCGCUCUUAACUUUGUUCCUCCCCACGUCACAGGGGAAGGAAGAAGUGGAGUGACCACGUGUGCCAUUUGAUGUGUGUGUCCAAAUCCUUGUGUCACCUCCCAUGGUUUGAGGUGGAACCAGAACACGGUGUUAAGGCUGGAGAAGGCAAAAAGUGCCAGGUCAGCCCUGGCUUCUCGCUCUGCCUGCUCCUUCUGGGCAGUGUGACAGUCUCUGUCGUGCACAUCAUGGACAGGGCUGCACCUUUUCCUAGAGGAGUGCACAGAGGGGUUUGUUACCCCAGGGUGGGAGCUCAGACUGGCAGAGCAGCUCCAGCCCCACUGAAGCUCCAGACCCACUCAGUCCUUGGCUGCCCGUGCUGGGUUUUUCCUAAGCGAGGUCAAUGCCUGGGUAUAGAGUAAAAAUAGAAUUAUUUUGGUGGCUGCAGCGAGUAAAAUAAGGAAAGCCAAGGAAAAGAAGUGGGGUUAGGGUUCCCUGCAGCCCACCUCUUUUGGCUUAGUGUUUGUGUACCUAAAAUGGGGGGAAACACAUCUACGGGUCACAGGAAAGGGCUGAAAGUGCUGACUUGCUGAAUCGUGGGAGCGGGGGACAUAUCCGGGCUUUUUCCUCGCUCAUUGCUCCUCCUCUUUUGGCUUCGUGUGAGCUUUUAGGAAAGCGUCCGGCGCGGGCUGAGCUGUGCACACGGGGCAGGUUUGCGGGCUGCGGGGCUGUGCCAGAGUUAUCCCGGUGCCCGGCAGCAGGAGGACCUGACCCUGCAGGGAUGCACAGCACCGAGCUGUGUGUUUUCCCCCCCGGGAGGAGGAGCAGCCUCGGCGCAUCCCUUCUGGAGGAAUCUUUGCUGGUUUGUCCUGCCAUGGGAAACUAACGGUGGUUACAGCUCGUGAAACAUGUACUUGUCUUUCUGGAAAGGAAGGGAAGUUGUUAAAGUGUAACUGUGGCUGGUUUCUUUACAUAAACAAUCUCUUGCACAUUUAAAAAUGUGGUUUUUUUUUCACCCAGUGUCCCAGAUCUGUGACCCUUUAAGUCUCUAGAAAGCCAGUUGUGUUCAACUGGUUUUUCAAUUAGCAAGGAGCCUUGGCACACCCCCUGUGAGGGCCGGUGGGAAGACAGAGCCCAAGGAAGAAGGGAACUGCUCCCGGGGGAAGUGCUGUACCUGGAGAGCCCGGGUGUGUGGGAUGUCAGCUGUUCUCCUCUUGGACAGACAUGUUUGCUUGGUUUAAAGCAGGAUGUGGCUGGGUGAGGCUGUCUCCAAAAGAGGAUUCCGAGAGGAAGCCUUCAUGAAGCAGAGCAUCAUGAUGUGGAGCCAACAGAAACACCAGAGAACAAGAAGGAAUAAUCUGGUGUCUGGUGGAGGAGAGGGGAUGGGGCUUGGGAUAAGAGAAUGAUUUAGGUCAGAAGAGCCUUCUCGGGGUCUCUAGUCCAACCUUUACCCAGCACCACGCCAGCUGUAAGAUACUUUGUGCUGAUUCUGCAAUCUCCUGCUUUCCAAUGGCAUUACUGGAAUCAGGUGGGAUGGCUCUCCUGGGAUGUCAGACUGCCUAGAAAGGCACUUGGCCUCCAGGAUCCUGCCUCUUGCAAACAGAGUGCCUGUCACCAAACCUCUGAAAAUGUGGAGAGGGAGGGGAAAAAUCCUCUUGAGUGCCUGCAGGUCAAUGUCCUUCCAGGAAAAAAAAAAAAAAAAAGAAGAAGAAAAAGGGAAUAAUAGGGUUUGGCUCACGCUAGGGAACAAACACAAAACCUCCCCGGCUGCCUCAACUGCCAUCUGCAAGAGAGGGAAAGGGGAGAGCGUGUUUACCAUGGCAGGCUCCAGGGUGAUGCAGGCUGUCAGAAUUAUAAAAUAUUCUUGGAAUAUUUUAUAAUUACAGACAGGAAUUCCACCUCGGAAAGUCUCCCGGCGCGGAUGGGAUCUGUUAAACUGUGGCUCGACCCCAAACGAAACUGGGCAUCGGCGGAGGAACGAGCUGAUGGUUGGUCCCAGUGUGUGGGGAACUGCUCAGGGAUGUUUUACUAGAUGGUCCCAAGCCUGGUCAGGAAGGCUGUGUUGGCACGAAAAGCUGGGUUGGCAUGGAGGGGAAGUCAAGAGAGCUUGACUUCCCUUCAAAGUGGAAACCACACUAAGCCUUCAAACAGUCUGCAAGAGAUGGAAACAGCAAACAGGGAGCCACGGGGGCCACUGAGAUGCUGGGAGCUGUUCAAAACUGGUGAGGAAGUAAAAGUAAAUGGGAAGGAAUUUUGGGCUGCUGGGAUUAAAAGGAAAAGAGAAAUGCCACCAUCUCCCUGUCCUGCUGCCAGUGCCACCAUCAGGAGAGCUGAGCCUGCAGGUAGGCAGGGCUGGUUCAGGGUGGGUGAGGUUAAAUGGCUGGGGUUAGACCUUGGGAGAUAAACUGCAUUGGGAUAUUGGGAAGGAAUUCUUGGCUGUGAGGGUGGGGAGGCCCUGGCACAGGUUGCCCAGAGAAGCUGUGGCUGCCCCUGGAUCCCUGGAAGUGUCCAAGGCCAGGCUGGACGGGGCUCGGAGCAACCUGGGCUAGUGGGAGGUGUCCCUGCCCAUGGCAGGGCGUGGGACUGGAUGGGCUUUAAGGUCCCUUCCAGCCCAAACCAUUGGGAUAAAUUGACAGGAAGGUGUUAGAGAUUCUUAAAGUCAGAAAAAUCUCCCUUGGGAACCCCAUGCCAGUGGGGGAGAGGCAAAACAUCAUAAUGUCCUUCCAGGGCACUAUUUGCAUGAAAAACUGCCAUGAUAAUGCCUUUGGCUUUUGGAUAAGUAGCUCCUGACAGCUUUGAAGAAGGCUGAGGAGCUCUCCCAAACCCUUCUCUUGGGAUGGUGGCAGCUUCCAGAAGACAACUCAAAUGCAGGUUUGACCCUGGCAGCAAUGAGAGAGGGGAUAUUAAUCCCACUUGGUGGGCAAACACAGGAAAACACCUCGUUCAGCCCUUUCUGCUCAUGAUUGGCAGGUUUUAAACACUGAGUCUCGUGCAGAUGAGAUGUUUGACACCUAUAAAUGUGUUACAUCUGUCCUUCAAGACAGGCUGAGCCUGAGACAUCCAGACGUGUCCGUGGCACGUAUUAACAGGCUGAGAACUGGCUGGUGAGCCUGGACAUCCCUCUAAUUGUAAAUAGUCAGAGGGUGUGAUUCCCAUAGCGAGGGUCUGGCCUGGGUUGUUUUUUUGGCCAUGUGCUACUUUUUAUUUAAAAAAAAAAAAGGCAUUAAAAAUGUUGGUGGUGUUUGCAUUACACUCCUGUGCUGCUCUGGGGGAAGGGAGGAAAGCCUUGCCAGCAUCCUUUGCAUGUUUUUAUGAACUUUCUUCGUGCUGAUGAGCUUUUUCCAGUGCUGGCCCCGUGGCAGAAGUGCUGUUUGGUCCCAGUGCUGGGCUUGGCCAGGCUGUGUCCAGCCUUGUGUUGCACAACGGCCGCGGGUCCUUGGUUGCUGCUCGGGCUCCCUGUCCCGAGGCACAACUUGUUCCCAUCUCCUCACACCAGGGGUGGUUCUUGUCGCUUCUAUUUUACCCUCCUCUGGCAAAGGGUCCCUCUGGAAAUUAAAAAACAAACAAAAAAAAGAAGUGGUCAUGUAAAUAAGAGGUUGCACGGGAAUAAAAUUUAGGUAGUGCCUGGAAAAGGCGGGUAAGGCAGAAUUUGGGUAAAAGCUGCUGAAGCUGCCUGGUUUGUCAGCUGCCACUGCUGUGGAGCUGAAUAACAGCCUUGGGAGCAAGCCAACCAGAUGCUGUUCUUAAAAAAAAAAAAAAAAAAAAAAAAAAAAGAGAGAG